rnacentral:lncRNA from 1 species
GUUGAUGAACAAAACUUAAGAAAGAAAGCUUAUUAUUGAGUAAUAAGUUUUUUACAUCAUGUAAUAAGUUAUUACAAUGAACAUUGUAAUAUAAUAUUUACAUCAAGUAAUUAAGUUAUUACAUUGUAAUAAUAUAUUACAGUAUAUUGGUUUCAUAAUCAGAUUCUAAAUGACUGAAGGAUUUCAAUUUUAAACACAAAGACAACUUAAUCUACAACUUACACUUACAUUAUAAGACAGCAGAAGAAAGUUUGAAACUGUAUCAUUACUUCAGACAAACCAUACUUUUGAUACUAUUUUUUAUCGCAUACAAUAAUGAAUUCAACUAUUGAACAUUUUAAAAAGAGUGUCUAAAUCUUCAUUUAGAUGAAGUCUUAACAAAGUUCACAAACUGCACUCAAAAAUAAGUUUCAAAAAAAAUAUGUAAAUCUUUCUGACAGAAUAUUUAUUUCAGCAGAAAGUUCAAUAUAUUUAUGUACUUUCAUUUCACAACAACAUGGCUUUGAUCAUUCAAGAUUAUUUAUUUAUAAAGAAAUCAAAGAAGCCAUAUAAAGACUCUGAAAUACUAAUCUAUAAUUUCCAAUUUGAUAUUUAGCCAUUUACAUGGUUUAAGAUAUGUCAGAUAUGUGUUGCCAUUAUUUUUCUGAAACUGAAUUUUAUUCUUCUCUAAAACACAACUAUCUGUCUACUUUCAGUCUAAGGCCAUUCACAGUUUGAAGGACUGUUUUCAGAGGUAUCAACUGAAAAGGACAGAACCAGGACAUCAUACGACCUAUAUGUUCAACACUUGCACAAAAAUAAGACAAACUUUAUACAAUAACAAUUUCUAUUUUACAAGAAUUUUCAUUUUUAAAUUAUGAUAACUUAUAGAAUAACAUAAUCUAUUUUACAAGCAUAUCUACUUUGAAUGAUGAUAAUUUAUCAUGGUUUAGCAACCUUUGUAAACUUAUAUACAUAUUAAGACUUUUUAAUCUGAAUUACUAUAAAAUUAAAAUAACAUGAACAGGCAGUUAUCUUAGACUGAGGACACUCUAUAUUGAUAAUCUUAAACACAUAAAUCUUGCAUACUACAGAAUCUGUGGAGAUUCAAACACUCACAAACAUGUGUAAAUGCAGUAAUGGAAAUUACAAUGUCAUCUAUCUAUAAUAUCAUGAUCAAAUACAAAGACGAAAAUAGUUAAAGAGAGAUAAUUCAAAUGCAUUUAUGGAGAAUUGGCGAGUCUUAUUAAAUGCAGCAAUACUGUCUCAUAGAUUAAUAUUUUUACAUAUCACAUUACAUAUUUAUAUUUGAAUAAAUCAUGCAAAUGAUGCAUACUAUAAGGUGGAUAUGUCUUUCUUUAAAAAAAAAAAAGAAACAUCUGUCAUAUCCUUUUAAAUAAAAAUAGGAAUAAGGAAAUUUUUGGAGUCUUUCUUUUACUUCAGAAUUUUCAAAUUAAUUUGAAGGAGUUAUUUCAGAUCAUUUAAAGACAUGAACAUCCUUCCAGUCAGAGAAAGUCAAAGAGACAAAGAAACAAGUCCUAUCAAAUGAAAUCCCAGUUCAUACAGAAUGAAAAACAAAUAAUAUUCAAAACUCAAUCUUUUCUACUACAAUUCCAUAAUGUUUAACAUUCUCUGUAAAGGUAGAUAAAAUUGAUUUUUAUAAACUUGGAUUUUUAUUCCUCAAUUUCUGACCUAUACCACUAAUGAGUUCAUAGCAUUGGCCAGACAGAGCACAACAUUUUGGAUGCAUCUGUCAUAUAUGAAAAAAAUUAAAACAAACAAAAUAAAUUUCCCUGUUCUAUAACUAAAUAAAAAUUCCUAUGACAAAAUAAUUUACUUUAUAGUUGGAUAGCAGAUUCUAUUUUUUUCAAUUAUUUGUUUGGCACAAAAUAUGACAUUGCAAUUUUAUAAGAUACUUUUUUCAAACAGAAUAUUAAAAUGUUUUCCCUUAGUUACACAUAUCUUUAUUUCAUUAAAAAGUCUAUAAUCUUCCUUAAAUACACAGAGACAGAUUAACUUUAUGUUAUAAAUCUUCCAUUUCAUAAUUCUGAAUAACAUCUACAAUAUUCCAGACUAAUAUAAUAUUUUUCCUAUCUUCACAAUACUGAUUGUGAUGGAUUUCAAAAAUCAAUAUUAACAUUAUGCAAAUUUCUAACAUUAUUUGUUUUAUGAUCAAUAAUUCAUAUGUUAUUACCUUCAACAAAAUAUCAUUAUCACAGCUGUCCAUCUUGUUUAUUAGAAACAGGCAAAAGAUUGAGAAAAAAAA